AGGGCGGCGGGUGGAUGCCUUGGGGCCAGAAGCCGAUGAAGGGCGCGGCGCACAGCGAAAUGCCUCGGGGAGCGGCGAGCACGCGUUGAUCCGAGGGUGCCCGAAUGGGGAAACCCGGCCUCCGUCAUGGGAGGUCAUCCCGGCAUUGCCGGGAAGGUAAGCAGGGGAACUGAAACAUCUUAGUACCCUGAGGAAGAGAAAUCAACCGAGAUACCGUCAGUAGCGGCGAGCGAAAGCGGCACAGCCUAAACGUCCCGCGUGUCAAGCCUGUCGGCGUUGCGCGGGACGGGUCACGGGAGUCGGCGGGAGCGACGACAGGCGCUCCACCCAGUCAGAAACCAUUGCACCACGCGAACCCGGCUGGAAAGCCGGACCAGAGACGGUGAUAGUCCGGUAGCGGACCGUGCAAUGGCUGGGGCCGGCCACCCAAGUACCCCGGGACACGAGAAACCCUGGGGGAAUUCGGGGGGACCACCCUCCAAGGCUAAAUACUUCUGGCCACCGAUAGUGAACCAGUACCGUGAGGGAAAGGUGAAAAGCACCCCGGGAGGGGAGUGAAAGAGAACCUGAAACCCGUCGUCUACAAGCAGUCGAAGCGCUAUAGGUUCGUCCUAGCGCGACGGCGUGCCUUUUGCAGAAUGAACCGGCGAGUCACGUUUACGGGCUAGGUUAAGGACGGGAACGUCCGGAGCCGUAGGGAAACCGAGUCUGAACAGGGCGCUGCGGCAACGCAGGUCCGUGAGCGUGGACCCGAAACCAGGUGAUCUACCCAUGGCCAGGUUGAAGGUCGGAUAGUCUCCGACUGGAGGACCGCACCGGUGUCGGUUGAAGACGGCUCGGAUGAGCUGUGGGUAGCGGAGAAAUUCCAAUCGAACCUGGAGAUAGCUGGUUCUCCCCGAAAUGCAUUUAGGUGCAGCCUCACAUGUUUCGUCUCGGAGGUAGAGCACUGGAUGGCCGAGGGGCCUUACCGGGUUACCGAAGUCAACCAAACUCCGAAUGCCGCGACGUGAAGUGUGGGAGUGAGACGGUGGGGGAUAAGCUCCAUCGUCAAAAGGGAAACAGCCCAGACCCUCUGCUAAGGUCCCUAAACCGGGCUAAGUGUAAAAGGAAGUGGGAGCACGCAGACAGCCAGGAUGUUGGCUUAGAAGCAGCCACCAUUGAAAGAGUGCGUAACAGCUUACUGGCCGAAUGUGGUCCUGCGCCGAUAAUGUAAGGGGGCUCACGCCCGGUACCGAAGCAAGGGAGUCCGUCUUCGGACGGAUUGGUAGGGGAGCGUUCCGUAGUAGGUUGAAGCGGUACCGCAAGGAGCCGUGGACGAGGCGGAAGUGAGAAUGCCGGUAUAAGUAGCGAGAAGACGGGUGAGAAUCCCGUCCGCCGAAAGCCUAAGGGUUCUUCAGGCAGGCUCGUCCUCUGGAGGUUAGUCGGUCCUAAGGCGUACCCGAACGGGGAAGUCGAUGGCUGCACGGUAGAUAUUCCGUGACCGGACGCAGUUCGUUAUGAGCGAUGGGGGGACGCGGCGCGAAGGUUACCGCCCGGGAUUGGAAGUCCGGGUUCUCUUACAGCCAGGGGCGAUAGGCAAAUCCGUCGCCCGCUGACUGGCGGUGAGAGAGGGAGCGAAGGGGUAACACCUGACGUGAACGGGACUGGGGCGCCGCCGAGAAAAGCCUCUAGCCAGAACUGCGCCGACCGUACCGCAAACCGACACCGGUAGGCGGGUAGAGGAUACCCAGGCGCGCGAGAGAACCCUCGUUAAGGAACUAGGCAAGCUGACCCCGUAACUUCGGGAGAAGGGGUGCCUCGGAAGGGGGAGGCUGACACGCCGAACUCAACCGAGGUCGCAGUGACAGGGCUCGAGCGACUGUUUAACAAAAACACAGGUCUCUGCUAAGUCGAAAGACGCAGUAUAGGGGCUGACGCCUGCCCAACGCCAGAAGGUUAAAGGGAGCGGUUCGGCCGCAAGGCCAAAGCUGCGAACUGAAGCCCUGGUGAGUGGCGGCCGUAACUAUAACGGUCCUAAGGUAGCGAAAUUCCUUGUCGGGUAAGUUCCGACCUGCACGAAUGGCGUAACGACUUGAGCGCUGUCUCAACGAGAGACUCGGUGAAAUUGUAGCAUGCGUGAAGAUGCGCAUUUCCCACGAUAGGACGGAAAGACCCCGUGGAGCUUUACUACACCCUGCUAUUGUGUUCUCUGCUGGUCUGUAGAGCGUAGGUGGGAGCCGCAAGGCGCCAAUGGAACACCACCCUGGCCAGUGGGGAGCACUAACCGGAGCCAACACUUCGAGACCGUAGCAGGCGGGUAGUUUGACUGGGGCGGUCGCCUCCCAAAACGUAACGGAGGCGUCCAAAGGUUCCCUCAGCCUGGUUAGAAAUCAGGCCUAGCGAGUAUAAGGGCACAAGGGAGCUUGACGGUGAGACCUACAGGUCGAGCCGGGACGAAAGUCGGGCCUAGUGACCCUCUGGUGGUAUGUGGAAACGCCAGGGCUUAACGGAUAAAAGUUACCCCGGGGAUAACAGGCUUAUCUUGCCCAAGCGCUCACAGCGACGGCAAGGUUUGGCACCUCGAUGUCGGCUCGUCGCAUCCUGGGGCUGGAUUAGGUCCCAAGGGUUAGGCUGUUCGCCUAUUAAAGCGGUACGCGAGCUGGGUUCAGAACGUCGUGAGACAGUUCGGUCCCUAUCCAUCGUGGGCGGAAGAGGGUUGAGGGGAGCUGCUCCUAGUACGAGAGG
rnacentral:rRNA from 1 species